CUUUUCGGUAGCUGUGCGUGGGAGAUCUUCGGAUCUGCCGGUUUUUCCAUUUGUCCCGGUUCGCCAACCCGCGUACAGCUACCACCUUA
rnacentral:antisense_RNA from 3 species